AGGAAAUUAAUGACAAUCUUGAGUUUUCAACAGGUGUUCACUAUUUACAAUGAUUGUAUAUUCUGGCGCGUGUAAUUGUAUAGUCUAACAUGUGUACAAAGUUGAAGGUGUUAAUUGGAUGUUAUUGUAGCAAUAAAACAGGGGACACCCGCCUUGUUAAUCUCAUUUGAUGUUCCACAUUGUGCGUACUGUUAUUACCUUAGGGUGAAGCCACAUCUAAUGUUG
rnacentral:lncRNA from 1 species